rnacentral:lncRNA from 1 species
AUGAGCUUGAGGAGGCGGUGUCUGAUUUAUAUAGGGCAUGAGAGAUUGGUGAGACCAGGUGUGCCAUUUGCAUAGCUGGCCACCCCACCCUAAUCUUUAAUUAUGCAGUUGGUUCUCUACCUGGCCAGCGCCAUGUUGCCUGUUUCUUUACUGUACACAUGGUGACAAAGAAAAGCGAAGAUGGAGCCUCCAUGUUGAACCUACCUGGCCCCCAGCACUACUGGCAAGCAAAGUGUUCACUGAUGAAUGAACAAUUACAUUUACCCACAGACUGAAAUAUGAUGUUAUUUUGUUUUGACUGAAAUUCCAACUCACUGUGAGAAUACUGUGAAAAAAAUCAUGAGAAGUAUCCUCAUAGGUGAGUCUUUUCACACAUCUGCACUAGUGAAUAUCUGAAUUUUAAAAGCCACUCCAGACCUACAUAGGUGAUGAAUGAAGAAGAGUGCCCUUCCAUGAACACAUGUGCUGGAGACGUGUUGAAUUUCUUCCCCCUCAGCAUAAUCAGAGGAGGUGACCCCAAGCACCUUAGAGACCAUGGGAAGUUCCUAAUGCCGGCCUGAUGCAGAUUCUCUUCUCCACGGAGCACCAUGGCCGCUGGGCUCUGCCUUCCACACAGAACGAUGUGUACUUGAAAACAGUACACUCUUGCACAGCUGUCCCUGGAGCUUCCCCGUGGAGCUGUUAAACUUGCCCUCCGCUGGCUGUUUUCCACAAAGUAAUAUGGUUACAUAGAUUCACGGCUCAUGGCAAUGUUUCAUUAAGACAGUUCUUGAUGGCCGCUCCACACCUUUCUCACCACAUCUCACAGGCUGCCCUGCUGAGCCAGGUCUCCCUGGAACCCGGGGCUCCUGCGCAGGCCCCCAUUUUGCUCCAGAACACCCAGGAAGGCGGGGCUUGGGCUGGAAUGGGGACACCGAUUACCCUCUGUUCAGGCCUUUGGUGCCAGCUGAGGUCGAUACUGGUGCCAGGAUCGAGACUGUGCGCAUCCCAUCGAGAGCGGGCAGAUGUGGGGGCGCACUGGACCGGGCCUCCCAGGCUGACACCCAUUCACAGCAGCCUGAGCCUAAUCCGCCACUGCUCGCCUUCCUCCGACGUCUCCACCUAAACCAUCCUUCUGCACAUUGUGACCCAUCACUCCGCCCUUUGUCCACACAUCUCCUUCCCCACACCCACAACGCGGUGGUCCCUGCCCCACAAUGCAACGGAAACCUUGCGGAGUGCUAGGCGGAAGCUGCGAGGCCUGUGUAGACACUGCCUCCGCAGGGCUGGCGCACUCCUCCGAGGGCCGACUGAGGGGUGGGUUUUUUAAGUUGCAAAAUAAAAGUUAUCGCCUGUGGGCCCUGAAGGCCUCUUUUCCACUGGAUGACAGGAAUGUGUUUGUUCAGAGAUUGUAGUCUCCCUGAACUGGAAGGGACUUUAGAAACGGUCUAUUACAACACUCUCCUCCUACAUAGAGUUGGAGAAAUUUCACCCAUGGCUGGGCAGAAUCAGGGAGGCUUACCCUUUGGUACUACAGUUUUUGGCAUUACUGCAGGAACAUAGUGUCCCAGCCAUAAUGUUAGGUAGUUAGACAUUAGCAGCUGGGAGGGGGCGAGAGAGGAGGGCAGAAGGGCUAUCACUAAGACAGGCCCUGGCCCACCUAAGUUCAGCCCCCAAGACCACCCUAACUCCACCCUGAUAGAUGCAGCUUGUGGUAAAGUCUGUGGCCAGCACAUCCUGGAGAAAGAAGAACUGGGCACAGAUAAAAAAUCCCCUUACGUGGCGCAUGCCCAGUCCAUCUAGGCCAUAAACCCGGGUAACCUCAUCCUCAUUAUACAGUCAUUAUAAUAAAAUUUACAUGUGGUUUUGCCCCUCUGAGUGGGCUUUCCUUAACAAAGUGUAAGUAAAGACGUGCAGUUUAAGUUCAGUGAUAUAAGCAUAAACUGCUAAUCAAAUGACACAA